CCUACGGGGGGCAGCAGUGGGGGAUAUUGCACAAUGGGGGAAACCCUGAUGCAGCGACGCCGCGUGGGUGAAGAAGUAUUUCGGUAUGUAAAGCCCUAUCAGCAGGGAAGAAAGAAGACGGUACCUGACUAAGAAGCCCCGGCUAACUACGUGCCAGCAGCCGCGGUAAUACGUAGGGGGCGAGCGUUAUCCGGAUUCACUGGGUGUAAAGGGAGCGUAGACGGCCGUGCAAGCCAGGAGUGAAAGCCCGGGGCCCAACCCCGGGACUGCUCUUGGAACUGUGCGGCUGGAGUGCGGGAGGGGCAGGCGGAAUGCCUGGUGUAGCGGUGAAAUGCGUAGAUAUCAGGAGGAACACCGGCGGCGAAGGCGGCCUGCUGGACCGCGACUGACGUUGAGGCUCGAAAGCGUGGGGAGCGAACAGGAUUAGAUACCCCAGUAGUC
rnacentral:rRNA from 1 species